UCCUUUACCUUAGCCGCCACUGUUCCCCUCUGCCUGUUGCUUUCCUACCUCCUUAAACCAAGCCAGGGAUCUGCAGAAUCCUCAGCAUCUGCAGCCCCCGAGCAUCAAAGAACCCGAGGAAUUUGAGAUGGAGAAGUCCACGGACUCCAGCCGUGGGGAGAAGAGGAAGCGCGAGGAAGGGAGAUCCGUGGAAGAGGGAGCAUCUUGGCCAUGAAGGCAUUAGACAUUGUCAAAAACCUACCUGCUUGAUGGUGAGUCAGUGUAGAUCAGAUUGCUAACGAUAAGAUCAAUGGCGCUGAUCUUGUGACUCCCGGAUGUGCGUAGUCGAUGAAGAACAGUCGUGUUGAUAAUGUUUUGUAAAAUACAUUGUCAACGGUUGGAUCCUCUCCUCUCAUGACAAACGCAAGAACAAGUAGAAGACACAAGUGGAGACUAUUUUUUAUUUUCUGAAUAUAAAUGAUAUAUAUUGAAGUCUUCCCUCUCGUGUAUAUACUCUGAACUCAGCCUAAAGUCCAGAAGCAACUGUAGUAGAACUAGAUUGCUUGUUCUUCUUCUGGACUUGGGGUCCGGUUGUUUGCAACAAGCAUUUCCGUUAUUGGUCCUGUUUGGAGAACUAGCCAAGGGCUAUUUUGAGGGCUAAAGAUUAGCCCAAAGAAAUAGCUCUCCAAUGAAAUAGCACUUGAGUUA